ensembl:misc_RNA Metazoa_SRP Metazoan signal recognition particle RNA
GCUGAGCGAGGUGGCACGUGCCUGUAGUCCCAGCUACUCUGGAGGCUGAGGUGGGAGGAUCGCUUGAGCCAGGAGUUCUGGGCUGUAGUGCGCUAUGCCGAUCAGGUGUCCACACUAAGUUCGGCAUCAAUAUGGUGGCCUCCCAGGAGCGGGGAGGAGGGAUGACGCAAGCCAGGUCUGAAACAGAGCAGGUCAGUAGGAGGAUCAGUAGUGGGAUCACACCUGUGAAUAGCCACUGCACUCCAGCCUGAGCAACACAGCGAUACCCCAUCUCUA